rnacentral:rRNA from 1 species
UGGGGAAUGAUUCACAAUGGGCGCAAGCCUGAUGCAGCCAUGCCGCGUGUGUGAAGAAGGCCUUCGGGUUGUAAAGCACUUUCAGCGAGGAGGAAGGUGGUGGACUUAAUACGUUCAUCAAUUGACGUUACUCGCAGAAGAAGCACCGGCUAACUCCGUGCCAGCAGCCGCGGUAAUACGGAGGGUGCAAGCGUUAAUCGGAAUUACUGGGCGUAAAGCGCACGCAGGCGGUUUUGUUAAGUCAGAUGUGAAAUCCCCGGCUACUGGGACUGCAUUGAACUGGACAGCUUAGGAAGUCUGCGAUAGAGGGGGUAUGAAUUCCAGGUGGUAGCAGGUUGCAAAUGGCGUAGAGAUCGUGGAAGGAAUACCGGUGGCGAAGGCGGCCCCCAUGGACGGAAGAGCUA